CACGGGUUAUGUUCUUCUCAUAUAUGUUAUGAUGGUAUGAUACUAAACCCCUAACGGGAAGGAUUGUGCCUGAUGUUCAUAUGAUGAAAUCAUAAUCUUUCAGUCAGUUUAAUUGAAGUCUGGAGCUAGCAUGUCAGUUAACUGUUGUUAUUUAUGUAUUAUUGUCAUUUUGUUUAUUUUCUUUGGUUACAUCUUCUGACAUCAGACUCGGACUUCUCUUGAACUGAAUUUCAAUUUGCGUAUUGUUAUGCGUUUACUUUUCUACAUUGGCUAGAGGUAUAGGGGGAG
rnacentral:lncRNA from 1 species